GGUCAGUGAUGAGAUGUAAAAGGUCUGAAGCCUCCGUCUCCUUCCCGUCCUCCCGUCCCUCCCAGCAGCCUCUCUUCAUUCGGUCCAGCUUGCUCUAGUCGUGCAUCGCUGGUUGCAGGAGGCGGCUGAUAUUUCGGACGUUUCUGCUGUAUAUAUAGAGUCUUUUAGAGAAUAAGAAGGCUUUAUAACAGCAGCGUCAGACAGAAGCACGACACACAGGAGGGCCGGACUGAAGGAGAACGCCUGACAGGCUCAUGAUCUCAAGUUUUCAAGCUGAGACC
rnacentral:snoRNA from 1 species